rnacentral:rRNA from 1 species
AGAGGGUUCGGCCCUCGGCUGACGGCUCUCNAACACGUGGAUAAUCUGCCCUUAGGUGGAGAAUAAUCUCGGGAAACUGAGAAUAAUACUCCAUAGAUCUGGGAUGCUGGAAUGCACUCAGAUUGAAAGCUCUGGCGCCUAAGGAUGAGUCUGCGGACUAUCAGGUAGUAGUCAGGGUAAAGACCUGACUAGCCUAUGACGGAUACGGGCUGUGAGAGCAAUAACCCGGAGACGAUAUCUGAGACACGAUAUCGGGCCCUACGGGGUGCAGCAGGCGCGAAAACUUCACACUGUGCGAAAGCACGAUGAGGGGAUCCCAAGUGCUUGCUCGUAGGAGUAAGCUGUUUUUUUGUCUAAAACACAGAGAGAGUAAGGGCUGGGUAAGACGGGUGCCAGCCGCCGCGGUAAUACCUGCAGCUCAAGUGGUGACCACUAUUAUUGGGCCUAAAACGUCCGUAGCCGGUUUAAUAAAUGCCUGGGUAAAUCGUGUAGCUUAACUAUACGAAUUCUGGGUAGACUGUUAAACUUGAGACCGGGAGAGGCUAGAGGUACUCCUGGGG